rnacentral:lncRNA from 1 species
CCCCAAAGUUCUUUUACCACAACAGUGUUGCCGUCUAUGACAGCUGACCUCAGACUUGGUUCUCUGAGCAGAAAACAAAAGCAGAAGGGGCUGGGAGAGACAGCAGCAGAGAGCAUUGAGGAAACUUCACUGGCUGCAAACAGCAUUAACAAUCAGUGCCAGAACCGAGGGAGGAGUAAUAAGGUCAUAUAUUCUGUGAUGACAAGUGGGAGAGCUUCUACUUGAACUACCAGGACUCAGCUCAAGCAACUCCUGCCACUAGUCCAGCUCUGGCUAUGACAAACCAUCCUCAAAGGUGACUUUUCAGAAGAGCCUAAUUUCUGAAGAAGCACAGAAAAAAAAUUAAGUGUCACAAGAUUUAGCUCUUACUAAAUUCCACAGAAGUGAUUAACUGCUCUCCAAAGCCUCCACAAGUUUCUGUAUUAUUACAGUCUUGCCAUUUACUCUGCUUUGGCUCAGCCUCAGACAAUUCUUUAUCAGACUUUUCUGAUAUUUAAAUGCAAGGCAUUAGAAAUGCAUCUUCACAUGAAGACUUGAGCGUAGUUUAUGGUGGUAUGAGGUGGCAGCAUUGAGGUUAUUUCUCUCUGGGAAAGUCUGUACUGGUCCUUGUCAGUCCAUAAUGAAGAUACUCAUUUUAUUACUCAUUUGAGUGACUGAUUGUGUCCAGUGGAUACUGUCCUGCAAUGAUGUCUUUUGCUGUCUCUUUAAAAAAACCCAACUGUGGAGUUGAAACCACUUUAAUAUUUUAUUACAGAAAAUGUAGUCUCAGCAUGUAAGUUUAGGAGUCAAACUAUAUUUAUUCUGUGCACAUAUACAUGCUUUUACAGACCCCAGGGUUUUAUUUUAUCCUAACUAAUAUAAGAGUAAAUGGUUGGAUUGCAGUGGAAUUGUUAAGGGUGUAUAUGAGCAUCAUUUUGUAACAGGACUUAAACAAGUCUUCAGUAAAGCAGCACUGUGGUUUCCUGCAGUUGGAAAGAUCAGAGACUGUAAUAAAAGGAGUCCACAGAAAUGGAUGACCCUACCA